GCGAACAACCUCUUUAUGAUCAGUUAAUAAUAGUACAACAGAAGAUAGUUUCACACUUUGAGUAUUGGUAGAUACAACUUACAAAGGAUCCAAGUUUAAACAAAACAUAUGAAUUACAAAAUAAAUAGUGAGUAAAAGAAUAAGGCAGUACGAGGAAGGAAAAGGAAAAAUGGGAAAAAGUGACUUGUGCCCUGUUAAAAAACAUAGCCUUGGUGUGUAUUCGCUGCUUUCAAGACAUGAGAUUUUAACGUCCUUUUGGAUUCAUGAUUUGAGAGAAAACAGCACUAGGUGUUAGCCCAUCUGAGUCUUCGCUGGCAAGGCUGCGGCCGCCAAUGCUCAUAGAUAUUCCACUGCUUCUUGAAUCAGUCAUGCUUGCAUCGUAACCUGGGGAUUCAUUCAAAUCCUUCUUUCCUUUGCAUGUAACAUUAUCAAACCCUUCUUCAAUGUCCAUUUUCCCAAAACCCUUCCCACACUCCUCUGCACUCUCCUGAAGUUGCAGAGCAAAUUCAAGAUUCCACAGCACAUCUCCCAUUGACGGCCUGUCUACACCAACAUCAGACACACACUUCACUGCUGUCUCUGUAAAUUUUUUCAAGCAUUCUGGUGCAAGCUUCCCUUUCAGAUAUGGAUCGAUUAUCUGAUCAAAAGUACCCUUCUUGUAACAAUGGAAAGCCCACUCUGCCAAGCUUACUUGCUCCUUUGGAAGAGUUGGGUUCAGAGCUGGCCGAGCACACAAAAUCUCAAACAGCACUACACCAAAUGAGUACACAUCAGAU
rnacentral:misc_RNA from 1 species